CGAUACAUACGACCAACACUGGUCCAAGAUUCGCGCAGCAUCUUCUCUGUUCGCAUUAACGGCGAGCAGGAUGGAGAUAAAACGGAGAGGAGAAAGAUAGAGGUGUACAUAGGUAGGUAGAGAGUGGGAGGGUGAGGUUUAUAUGGUUGAACAAGGGGAUGGAAGUGGGAACGAGAGAGAAGUAGAAAGAGGAGGCAGGAUUGCGAGACAGAGACAGAGGUAGGGAGUUCACGUCGACGCCACUGGCGCGACAUAGUGCCCCCGAUUGCGAUAUAUAUCCACCCUCUCUAACCAACCCUAUGCUUCUGCCACCCACACGCUUCGAUCUCGCCUCAUAUCUCUCUCCCUCUGUCGGUUCCCUCUCUACUUCGUCAAACCCCAUCCCUGGCAGCCUCUGCCACUCUAACCAUUCCUCCUACCCUUUCGUUCCUCCGCUUCCAUCUACUAGAAACUCAACCCCGCCGCGCACCACCUUGUCUCUCUCUUCACCGCCACUGCGCUUUUGCCUCCGUUCCGCAAUACUCGGCCUCAGGGUUGCUGGCGUUGCUUUGGGGGGUGGCUGGCUGCCGCUGGACGACUCUCGCCACCACUUCGUCCACGAAAAAAACUCUAUAUACGGGUUUCGACGCGUCGCAAGGCCGUUGGGAUUUCCAAUUGGAAUUUUUCGGGGCCCUGCUCUCCCGUGUCGAUCUAACGCACGCGCGCAACCGAUCGUCGAGCAUAGAAUACCUAUCGAUACAUCGAUUGGCGAGGGAUGAGAGACUGCUCGAUGCUUUGCAAUCCACGAUGGAAAUUGGGUUUCUUUAGUUUUUAUGUUAUUUGAAGGGUUUUCAAGGUUUGCAGGAUUUUAACUAUAUCCGAGGUAAAUUUUAAAGAGCAAAUCUUUUCGGAUAAUGGUGAUAGUAGAGUCCUCUUGCACAAUUAUUUAUCACGACGUAGGUUAUACACUCCUCUUCGUUUUGUAGUUUGCUUGCGAGACUUUUACGGCUUGAGGACUCCAAGCAUUUUUAAGGCAGACUCUAUUAGAUGACAAUUUUACGUUAAGUAGGAUAAUCGUAAUUUCUAAAAUUUGAAUAGCCACUUUAAUUGUUUUAUAUAACAACAAGUUUAAAUACCAGUUUAAAUAUUAUUACAGAUUGGUAGAAUAAAAUGCUCAACAUUGUAAGCUUUAAGAAUUUCUUUAAGUCAAACAAACUAAUAAAAUUAUAGUUUUCAUGAAUUUAUUCAAAAGUUGAAAGAUGUUUGAAAUUAUUAUCAAUUAAUGUAUACAAAAUUAAUUAUGUAUUAAAUUAAUUAAUGUAAUACAAAAUUAAGAAACAGGAAAUAUCGGAUAAAUGAAAUGUAUGUCAAGUAUGCCAAACGUAUGUUCGAUUUAGUACUGUACGAUUUCGUAAUAUUUUAUCAAUUUUCAUCAAGUUAUCCAAGGAAAUAAAGUAAUCGAAAGCCAGGCUUAACACGAGUCUCCCGACGUGCUAAUCUUCCCCUCAACAAUAGAUCCUAG
rnacentral:misc_RNA from 1 species